AUCAAUUACAUACCAUAAGAGUUUCUAAAAGAAAAAAAUAAUAGUAUUAUAUUACAUAAUUUUAUUUAAACUUUCCUUUAUCAGAUGAUUGACGAAUGUUAUUUGAAUUUCCUAAGAGUUUUUAAAAGUUUUUCUUUUAGAACUUUUUUUUUCUUUCUUGUUUUAAUUAAUUUUUUUAUUUAACUAUAAAAAAUUUUCUCUAAUAAAUUUAAAGAUUUUUAUUAUUGCAUUCAAAGGGGCUAAGUAAAAUAACCAUCGAGAAAACCGAUUUCAUCUUCAGGUAAUUUGUUUUCUCCAGAUUAUUUAAUUUAAGAACUUUUCAUACACUCUUAAACCUACUUAACAAAAAAAAAACUUUUCAUACUCUCUUAAAUAUCCUUGCAACUCUUGCAUAUAGCUGCUCUGCACGUGCAUGAAACCGCGUGCCAUUUUUCGUUGGUUUACUUAGACCAUAUCAAUGGGAGAUUCCUAGAUGGGGUUCCAAAGAAUAGAAAGCAAAAAAAUAAAUGAAAAAGGAAAAAAAGUUAGAGGACCGCCCCUUAAAUUAGGAUUUUAAGGAUUGAUAAUAAAUCUUACGUGUCAGCUUCUUAUUUGACCACCGAUCUCUCUCUCUCUCUCUCCUGUUUCAGAAUUUCACGCGAAAUCAAUUUUUUUUUCUUCUUCUUUCUUCGAUUUCUCCAUCUUCUUUCUGGCGAUUUUCUGUCCAUUCUUCAAUCUCUCCAUCUUCUCUGUCGAUUCUUCUAUUUCUCAAUCUUUUUUGUUGAUUCUGAUGUCGAUCUCCUUCGGUGAGACUAAGGAAGAUCAGAAAAGAGAAGCGACUUCUUCAAAGGAAUCAGCUUCAAGUGAAAGCAAGGAUCAAGGCAAGGAUGAAACUCAUACAAGAGGCGAGAUCAGACUGGUGGCAAAUUGGUAAGAACCCGGAUAAAGAAUCGGAGCUCCCACGUGAUCUCUUCAUCUUGUUUGGCCGGGAAGUAUUGAGAUCGAGAACGAGUUAGUAAGGCGCAGAAAGGGCAAAUAUGUUUUAUGUUUAAUGACUAUAUCAAGACCGUGAUCGUUUGAGUAGUAACGUUCGAUCAGAAUCUAUCUACAACUAAUACGUGUAGUAGUAUAGCUCGAAGAUACUAUUCUCUCUCUUCUUCUCCAAAGAAGUAUCUUUGCUCAUCUAAGAAAGACUCUACUGGGCUGUCAAGACACCUUUCAAGAAAGAAAAAACUAAACUCAAAUCAUCGAAUUUUCUCUAUCGGGAAAAUAUAAGCUGAGGCGUAUAUAUAUUUUUGUUUUCCUGAGAAUCCUAAUUUAUAACAGAGAGGAAAAGAGAAGAGAGAGAGAGGGAGAUGAACUAACAGUCCUUCUCCGGGUUUUAAAUAAGACGACAGCUUAACCCUGAUAUGGCUUGAGUAAAAGCAUCCAACCCAUAAUACUAUUUUAACGUCCAAACCACACUAUUUUAAUAGAAUUUCAGCAUUAAAAAUAAGUUUUUCUCCGACCAUAACGCCAAACAUCACACUAAAAACUAUUUUAUAGUAAUAUAUAUAUAUAUUUUUAUUUGUCAUUUAUUUAAUUCUCUAUUUUAUUAACAAAUUAAAUAAAUAGUGUUUUCGUGAAAUGAAUAAUAUUUUAGUGUAGUGAAUAGUAUCAUACCAAAUUUAGGGUAAAAUUAUAGUGUUGCACUAAAAUUGUGUGAUUUUUAAUGAGAAAUCGGCCAAAAAAACACUGAACUUUGCGGAAAUUGCCAAAAGAAACCUGUACUCGAGCCUGGCCAAUAAAACUCAGAUCUUUUGUUGACUUUUUUAGUUUAUUCACAAACUUAAGGUUGACUUACCAGAUUAACACACCGUUAACCGACAGUUAAGACAGUGUUAACUCACCGUUAAUUAGUACCGUUUAGUAAAACUACGUCGUUUCAUCCAAUUGUUUUGUUAAAGACAAAAUCUCAAGACGACGUCGUUUUGCUUAAUUAAAAUUGUUGUUGGCGGGACUCGAACCUGUGCACUCGUGGUUCUUAGGGGGUUUUGCCACUGAGCUAGUGGACUUUUCGGAAGAUUACCACACAUGUUUAUUUUUAUUGAUCAAAAGAUGUGUUUGAUUGAAAUCAAACAAAACGAAACCCGUGUUUGAACGUAACCCUAAUUUCUCAAAUCGAUUUGGGGAUUUUUCUUGUGAUGUGAGGAGAUGGUAAAGGUGAGAUAUCCCAGUUUUUGAUGUGUAUAUCCCAGUUCUUCGACCACACCCGCAUUGCUCCGGGAUACCACAAAUUCCCAUCGUAUUCACAGACGAAUCCUCACAACCCGAACUCAUCAUGCGAUACUCGAAGAAGGAAAGGUGAGAAUCGAGAUUCUUAAGGACGAGAUCGAAGAGAAUCGAGCUUGAAUCGCGAACUGGAUUUAUGAUUUUGGGAAUUUAGGGUUUAUACCAAUCGGAGGUGAAAACGCCGUCAUUUCUUUUUGAUUCAUUUAACUCGGAUUCAAAGAGAAUAAAAGAAACUGUGUUCGUAAAUCUAUUGCAAAGUCCACUAGCUCAGUGGCAAAAACCCCUACCAUUAAACUCGAGUGCACGAGUUCGAGCCGAUGGAAGCCCAUCUUUUUAAUAAAAAAGCAAUAUAAAACGCGUCGUUUCAUUCAUUUGUCUUUUAACUCGGAUUCAAAGAGAAUAAAACAAACUGUGUUCGUAAAUCUAUUGCAAAGUCCACUAGCUCAGUGGCAAAAACCCCUACCAUUAAACCCGAGUACACGAGUUCGAGCCGUUGGAAACCCAUAUUUUUAAUAACAAAGCUAUAUAAACGACGUCGUUUGUCUUUAAUCAGACAAAGAGAUGAAACGACGUUGUAUACUUUAACACCCAAAAUUAACAUCCGCUUAUUUAUCUGUUAACUCGGUUAACGGUGUGUUAAUCUGGUCAGUCAAUCGUAAGUUUCUUAAUAAACUAAAAAAGUCAACAAAAGUUCACGGUUUUAUUGGCUAGCCCAUAUGUCCAGGUUUCUUUUGGCAAUUUCCGCAAAGUUCAGUGUUUUUUUGGCCGAAUUCUCGAUUUUUAAUGUUGGAUUGGAGAAAUUUUUUGUGUCAAGUAAAAAGUGUUUUAGAGUUGGAUUAGAAAGGAUUUUAUUUCAAAAAAUUUAGGGGGUUUUUUUUUGGUAAAUUUUAAGAAGAUUUUUAUUAAAAAUAAUCAAAAUAUCUUAACAUUUUACAACAAAAAAAAAUCAGAAUUGUAUGAAAGCAAUUUACAAUGGUUAAUGUGGAUAUGUCUUAAGUUAUUUCAAGAAUUUUAGGGGGAUUUUAUUAAAAAUAAUAAUUAAAAUAUCUUAACAUGUUACCAAAAAUGCUGAAAAUUGCUUCAUGAAAUGCUGAUUAUUAUUAUUAUUAUUUUUAUUUUAUUUUUUGGUUACACCAAAAAAAUAAUAAUCAGCAUUUCAUGAAAGCAAUUUUCAAUGGUUAGUGUUAUACACGGGCUAAGCCGGUGUAUUCAAGAGAGCAUCCAGGAUCUUGAUGAGUUAAAGUUUUUUUUUAGUCAGCUCGACUACUCUGGAGCCGGUAUCGUAUACUAUAUAUUAAACCAUAUAGAAAUUUUAUAUGUGCUCCAUAGUUACCGUAAGGAUUCAAUAGUUAAAGUUGAACCGUGAUUAUGGACUCAAAAUAUGUAUUAGCUAAUUUGUUUUCACUUGUGUUUUUUGUUUCUUCGAUUAAUUAGUGGUAUGGUUAAAAAUUAAAAUAAUGUAAACUAUGGUCUAUAGAUUUUUGGUAAGGUCGAAAUGAACUCCCUACAGUAGAGUUGAUAUUUUCCAAUUAAGAUGUCAUAAUCAAUCUAGUAUUAAUACACUGGACCAACCAUUCAUUUUAAUACUAUAAUAUAGACAUGGGUCAUGGGUGGUGUUAUAUAUACAGCAGAUACACGUAAGGAAAUAUUAUAUAAUAAUAUAAAAGUUGAAGACGUCGGUCCACUAGUUGGCUAUGCAACUUGCUUUGCUUUAAACCCACCGGAUCUUAAAUUAGUAGACGUGGGUCAGCAUUUUUAUUAUUUUACAUCGUGAACAAGAGAUACAAGUUAUAUUUAGUGUUAUUAAUCUUUAAUGACAUAUUACUGUUGUUAAUUGGGUGACUGGUGAAGUGUGGAGAGUCGAGUUUAGUCGAGUGUCGGUAUUGAAAAACAAGGGGACUCCGGACAAUUUAAUGAGAGACUUUUCCAAACUUUUAAAUAGGCCUGGGAUUUUUAUCCAUAACCGAAUACCCGAACCGGAACCGACCCGAAAUGGACCGGUUCGGUUUGGUUUCGGUUCUAGGCAAUUUAUCCGAUGGGUAUUAGUGUUAAUUAUCCAUGGGUAUCGGUUCGGUUCCGGUUUUUACCCGAAACCGAACGGGUACCCGUUUAACCCGAAUUCUAUGCUUAAAAAACAUAGAUUUGUAUCUUUCGAGGGUUGAACCCGGGUUGGAUAGGCAAAGCAACAACUGCAAUACCACUAGACUAGUUCAACUUCGUUGUAUUUAAUACAUAUUACUAAUAUAUAUACGAUUUCUAUUAACUUUUUUU